UAGCGUUGUUCGGAAUUACUGGGCGUAAAGCGCGCGCAGGCGGUUCUUCAAGUCAGAGGUGAAAGCCCAGAGCUCAACUCUGGAAUGGCCUUUGAGACUAGAGAACUAGGGUACGGGAGAGGUGAGUGGAAUUCCGAGUGUAGAGGUGAAAUUCGUAGAUAUUCGGAAGAACCCCAGUGGCGAAGGCGGCUCACUGGCCCGUUACCGACGCUCAGGCGCGACAGCGUGGGGAGCAAACAGG
rnacentral:rRNA from 1 species